ACUCCUACGGGAGGCAGCAGUGGGGAAUAUUGCACAAUGGGGAAACCCUGAUGCAGCCAUGCCGCGUGUGUGAAGAAGGCCUUCGGUUGUAAAGCACUUUCAGUAGGGAGGAAGGUAGUGUAGUUAACACCUGCACUAUUUGACGUUACCUACAGAAGAAGCACCGGCUAACUCCGUGCCAGCAGCCGCGGUAAUACGGAGGGGUGCGAGCGUUAAUCGGAAUUACUGGGCGUAAAGCGCAUGCAGGCGGCCUGUUAAGUCAGAUGUGAAAGCCCGGGGGCUUAACCUCGGAAUUGCAUUUGAAACUGGCAGGCUAGAGUCUUGUAGAGGGGGUAGGAAUUUCAGGUGUAGCGGUGAAAUGCGUAGAGAUCUGAAGGAAUACCAGUGGCGAA
rnacentral:rRNA from 1 species